UUGGAGGGCAAGUCUGGUGCCAGCAGCCGCGGUAAUUCCAGCUCCAAUAGCGUAUAUUAAAGUUGUUGCAGUUAAAAAGCUCGUAGUUGAAUUUCGGGGUUCUACCGUUGGUCGGGCUAUUGUUUGUACUGGCGUGUAGAAUUUCUACCUUCUGGGGAACUAUCAUGUUAUUAAUUUAGCGUGGUAGGAGACCAGGACCUUUACCUUGAAAAAAUUAGAGUGUUCAAAGCAGGCUUAUGUCUGAAUACAUUAGCAUGGAAUAAUAAAAUAGGACGGUGGUCCUGUUUUGUUGGUUUCUGAAUCACCGUAAUGAUUAAUAGGGAUAGUUGGGGGCAUUAGUAUUCAAUUGUCAGAGGUGAAAUUCUUGGAUUUAUUGAAGACUAACUACUGCGAAAGCAUUUGCCAAGGAUGUUUUCAUUAAUCAAGAACGAAAGUUAGGGGAUCGAAGACGAUCAGAUACCGUCGUAGUCUUAACCAUAAACUAUGCCGACUAGGGAUCGGACGAUGUUAACUUUUCUUGACUCGUUCGGCGCCUUACGGGAAAC
rnacentral:rRNA from 1 species